rnacentral:rRNA from 1 species
AUUGAACGCUGGCGGCAGGCCUAACACAUGCAAGUCGAACGAGUGGCGGACGGGUGAGUAAUGUCUGGGAAACUGCCUGAUGGAGGGGGAUAACUACUGGAAACGGUAGCUAAUACCGCAUACCAUCAGAUGUGCCCAGAUGGGAUUAGCUAGGUGGUGUGGUAACGGCUCACCAAGGCUCCGAUCCCUAGCUGGUCUGAGAGGAUGACCAGCCACACUGGAACUGAGACACGGGCCUGACUCCUACGUGAGGCAGCAUGGGUGAAUAUUGCACAAUGGGCGCAAGCCGGAUGCAGCCAUGCCGCGUGUAUGAAGAAGGCCUUCGGGUUGUAAAGUACUUUCAGCGGGGAGGCGUUACCCGCAGAAGAAGCACCGGCUAACUCCGUGCCAGCCGCCGCGGUAAUAC